CCCUUAGAUGUUCUCGGCCGCACACGCGCUACACUGAAAGAGGCAACGUGUUUGCCUGAUUCGAAAGAAUUGGGUAACCCCCUAAUCUCUUUCGUGCUGGGGAUUGAGGUUUGCAAUUAUCAUUCAUGAACGAGGAAUUCCCAGUAAGUGCGAGUCAUUAUCUCGCGCUGACUACGUCCCUGCCCUUUGUACACACCGCCCGUCGCUACUACCGAUUGAAUGAUUUAGUGAGGACUUCGGACUGAGUCCAAUGCGGCUUUCGGGCUGCGUUGGUAUUUCGGAAAGAUGUCCAAACUGUAUCAUUUAGAGGAAGUAAAAGUCGUAACA
rnacentral:rRNA from 1 species